rnacentral:rRNA from 1 species
CGCGGCCUAUCAGCUUGUUGGUGGGGUAAAGGCCUACCAAGGCGACGACGGGUAGCCGGCCUGAGAGGGCGACCGGUCACACUGGGACUGAGACACGGCCCAGACUCCUACGGGAGGCAGCAGUAGGGAAUAUUGCGCAAUGGACGAAAGUCUGACGCAGCAACGCCGCGUGAGGGAUGAAGUACAUCGAGAUGUAAACCUCUUUCAGCAGGGACGAAGCUAACGUGACGGUACCUGCAGAAGAAGCACCGGCUAACUACGUGCCAGCAGCCGCGGUAAUACGUAGGGUGCAAGCGUUGUCCGGAUUUAUUGGGCGUAAAGGGCUCGUAGGCGGGCUGUCGCGUCGGAUGUGAAAACUCGGAGCUUAACUCCGGGCCUGCAUUCGAUACGGGCAGACUAGAGUUCGGUAGGGGAGACUGGAAUUUCUGGUGUAGCGGUGGAAUGCGCAGAUAUCUGGAAGAACACCGAUGGCGAAGGCAGGUCUCUGGGCCGACACUGACGCUGAGGAGCGAAAGCAUGGGGAGCGAACAGGAUUAGAUACCCUGGUAGUCCAUGCCGUAAACGGUGGGCGCUAGGUGUGAGGGUCUUUCUACGACUUUCGUGCCGCAGCUAACGCAUUAAGCGCCCCGCCUGGGGAGUACGG